rnacentral:lncRNA from 1 species
UUAAUUUGUUUCAAUCUCAAGAACAAUUUAAUUUUCCAGAAAGCCUACUUUUCUUUGAUUUCUCUUAUGUUAAUGGUAGACGUUUCUAAUUAAAAAUAGUAGACGUGUCUUAUGUUAAAUGUAGACUUUGCAACUUUCACUUUCCAUUAUUGAUUCAAUCUCAAGAACAAUUUAGAUUUCCAGAAAGUUUACUUUUCUUUUAUUUCUCUUAUGUGAAUGGUAGACAUUUCUUAUAAAAAAAAUAGUUGUGUCUUAUGUUAAAUGUAGACUUUGCAUCUUUUACCUUGAGUUGGUUCAAUCUCAAAAACAAUUUAGAUUUCCAGAAAGUCUACUUUUCUUUGGUUUCUCUUAUGUUAAUGGUAGACAUUUCUAAUGAAAAUAGUAGAGGUGUCUUAUGUUAAAUGUAGACUUUGUAUCUUUUACCUUGGGUUGCUUCAAUCUCAAGAACAAUUUAGAUUUCCAAAAAGUCUACUUUUCUUUGAUUUCUCUUAUGUUAAUGGUAGACGU